rnacentral:rRNA from 1 species
CCCGCUCAGAAACUCAAGGAUUGACGGGGCCCGCACAAGCGGAGGAACAUGUGGUUUAAUCGAUGAUACGCGAGGAACCUUACCCGGGCUUGAAAUGCAUCUGACCGGCCUUGAAAGAGGUUUUUCCCCUUCGGGGCAGAUGUGUAGGUGCUGCAUGGUUGUCGUCAGCUCGUGCCGUGAGGUGUCGGCUUAAGUGCCAUAACGAGCGCAACCCUCAUCAUUAGUUACCAUCAGGUAAGGCUGGGGACUCUAAUGAGACUGCCAUCGUAAGAUGUGAGGAAGGUGGGGAUGACGUCAAAUCAGCACGGCCCUUACGUCCGGGGCGACACACGUGUUACAAUGGGUGGUACAAAGGGCAGCUACCUGGCGACAGGAUGCUAAUCUCCAAAACCACUCUCAGUUCGGAUCGGAGUCUGCAACUCGACUCCGUGAAGCUGGAUUCGCUAGUAAUCGCGCAUCAGCCACGGCGCGGUGAAUACGUUCCCGGGCCUU